GUGCCAACCGCCGCGGUAAUACGUAAGUGGCAAGCGUUAUCCGGAAUUACUGGGCAUAAAGCGUUCGUAGGCGGUUAAGAAAGCCAGUUAGUGAAAGCCACAGGCCUAACCUGUGUAAGCUAAUGGAACUUCUUAACUUGAGUACAGUAGAGGAAAGUGGAAUUCCUAGUGUAGUAGUGAAAUGCGUAGAUAUUAGGGAGAACAUCAGUAGCGAAGGCGACUUUCUGGACUGUAACUGACGCUGAGGGACGAAAGCGUGGGUAGCGAACAGGAUUAGAUACCGUGUAGUCC
rnacentral:rRNA from 1 species